rnacentral:rRNA from 1 species
AUCAUGGCUCAGGAUGAACGCUAGCUACAGGCUUAACACAUGCAAGUCGAGGGAAACGAUAUUGGAAGCUUGCUUCCGAUAGGCGUCGACCGGCGCACGGGUGAGUAACGCGUAUCCAACCUGCCCAUCACUUGGGAAUAACCUUGCGAAAGUAAGACUAAUGCCCAAUGACAUUUAUAGAAGGCAUCUGAAAUGAAUUAAAGAUUUAUCGGUGAUGGAUGGGGAUGCGUCUGAUUAGCUUGUUGGCGGGGUAACGGCCCACCAAGGCGACGAUCAGUAGGGGUUCUGAGAGGAAGGUCCCCCACAUUGGAACUGAGACACGGUCCAAACUCCUACGGGAGGCAGCAGUGAGGAAUAUUGGUCAAUGGGCGAGAGCCUGAACCAGCCAAGUAGCGUGCAGGAAGACGGCCCUAUGGGUUGUAAACUGCUUUUAUAGGGGAAUAAAGUGAGCCACGUGUGGUUUUUGCAUGUACCCUAUGAAUAAGGACCGGCUAAUUCCGUG